UACGAAGGGGGCUAGCGUUGCUCGGAAUCACUGGGCGUAAAGCGCACGUAGGCGGGUCCUUAAGUCAGGGGUGAAAUCCUGGAGCUCAACUCCAGAACUGCCCUUGAUACUGAGGAUCUCGAGUUCGGGAGAGGUGAGUGGAACUGCGAGUGUAGAGGUGAAAUUCGUAGAUAUUCGCAAGAACACCAGUGGCGAAGGCGGCUCACUGGCCCGGUACUGACGCUGAGGCGCGAAAGCGUGGGGAGCGAACAGG
rnacentral:rRNA from 1 species